rnacentral:rRNA from 1 species
UACGUAGGUGGCAAGCGAUACUCGGAAUCACUAGGCGUAAAGCGCAGGUAGGCGGUUCGGUAAGUCUCUUGUGAAAGCUCCCGGCUUAACUGGGAGAGGCCAAGGGAAACUACCGGGCUUGAGUGUGGUAGAGGAAGCUAGAAUUCCCGGUGUAGCGGUGAAAUGCGCAGAUAUCAGGAGGAACACCGGCGGCGAAGGCGGGUCUCUGGGCCGAUACUGACGCUGAGGAGCGAAAGCGUGGGGAGCGAACAGG